UACGUAGGGCGCGAGCGUUGUCCGGAAUUAUUGGGCGUAAAGAGCUCGUAGGCGGCCUGUUGCGUCCGCUGUGAAAUCCCAGGGCUUAACCCUGGGCGUGCAGUGGAUACGGGCAGGCUGGAGGCAGGCAGGGGAGAACGGAAUUCCCGGUGUAGCGGUGAAAUGCGUAGAGAUCGGCAGGAACACCCAGGGGGAAACCAGCCGACUGGGCAAGUGCUGACGCUGAGGUGCGAGAGCGUGGGGAGCGAACCGG
rnacentral:rRNA from 1 species